rnacentral:tRNA from 1 species
CGAGCGGCAGGUCGAGGGGCCCAAGCAGGCUGACGGCCUCCUCGAGCGGCACGGAGCGGACAUCGCGGAUCGCGAUCCGCGCCGGACGGCC